rnacentral:rRNA from 1 species
ACGGCUCAGUAACACGUGGCUAACCCACCCUUGAGACGGAGAAAACCCCGGGAAACUGGGGUUAAUCUCCGAUAAGAGAAGACACCUGGAAUGGGUCUCCUCUCAAAGGGCGCCUAGACCAUGCUUCUAGGCGUUGCUCAAGGACGGGGCCGCGGCCGAUCAGGUUGUUGGUGAGGCAACGGCUCACCAAGCCUAUAACCGGUACGGGCCGUGAGAGCGGGAGCCCGGAGAUGGGCACUGAGAUAAGGGCCCAGGCCCUACGGGGCGCAGCAGUUGCGAAAACUCCGCAAUGCACGCAAGUGUGACGGGACUACCCCGAGUGCCGUCCGCUGAGGACGGCUUUUCCCCGGUGUAAGGAGCCGGGGGAAUAAGGAGAGGGCAAGUCUGGUGUCAGCCGCCGCGGUAAUACCAGCUCUCCGAGUGGUAGGGAUGAUUAUUGGGCUUAAAGCGUCCGUAGCCGGCCCGGCAAGUCUUCCGUUAAAUCCAACGAUUCAAUCGUUGGACUGCAGGAGAUACUGUUGGGCUAGGAGGCGGGAGAGGCCGACGGUAUUCUCGGGGUAGGGGUAAAAUCCUAUAAUCCCGGGAGGACCACCAGUGGCGAAGGCGGUCGGCUAGAACGCGCUCGACGGUGAGGGACGAAAGCUGGGGGAGCGAACCGGAUUAGAUACCCGGGUAGUCCCAGCUGUAAACGAUGCGGGCUAGGUGUUGGGGCGGCUACGGGCCGCUUCAGUGCCGCAGGGAAACCAUUAAGCCCGCCGCCUGGGGAGUACGGCCGCAAGGCUGAAACUUAAAGGAAUUGGCGGGGGAG